UGCCAGCCGCCGCGGUAAUACCGGCAGCCCGAGUGAUGGCCGAUCUUAUUGGGCCUAAAGCGUCCGUAGCUGGCCGAACAAGUCCGUCGGGAAAUCCACGUGCUUAACACGUGGGCGACCGGCGGAAACUGUUCGGCUUGGGGCCGGAGGACCCGAGGGGUACGUCCGGGGUAGGAGUGAAAUCCCAUAAUCCCGCACGGACCACCGAUGGCGAAAGCACUUCGAGAAAACGGAUCCGACAGUGAGGGACGAAAGCCAGGGUCUCCAACCGGAUUAGAAACCCGAGUCC
rnacentral:rRNA from 1 species